rnacentral:rRNA from 1 species
CUGAUUUCACUAGUGAUUUCUGUUUGAUCCUGGCGGAGGCUACUGCUAUUGGGAUUCGAUUAAGCCAUGCAAGUUGAAUGAAUUUAGAUUCAUGGCGUACGGCUCAGUAACACGUGGAUAACUUACCCUUAGGACUGGGAUAACUCUGGGAAACUGGGGAUAAUACCGGAUAUUAGGCUAUGUCUGCAAUGGUUUGCCUUUGAAAUGUUUUUUUUCGCCUAAGGAUAGAUCUGCGGCUGAUUAGGUCGUUGGUGGGGUAAUGGCCCACCAAGCCGAUGAUCGGUACGGGUUGUGAGAGCAAGGGCCCGGAGAUGGAACCUGAGACAAGGUUCCAGACCCUACGGGGUGCAGCAGGCGCGAAACCUCCGCAAUGUACGAAAGUGCGACGGGGGGAUCCCAAGUGUUAUGCUUAAAGGUAUGACUUUUCAUUAGUGUAAAAAGCUUUUAGAAUAAGAGCUGGGCAAGACCGGUGCCAGCCGCCGCGGUAACACCGGCAGCUCGAGUGGUAGCUGUUUUUAUUGGGCCUAAAGCGUUCGUAGCCGGUUUAAUAAGUCUUUGGUGAAAGCUUGUAGCUUAACUAUAAGAAUUGCUGGAGAUACUAUUAGACUUGAAGUCGGGAGAGGUUAGAGGUACUACCGGGGUAGGGGUGAAAUCUAUAAUCCUGGGAGGACCACCUGUGGCGAAGGCGUCUAACUGGGACGAUCUUGGCGGUGAGUACGAAAGCAAGGGGCGCGAACCGGAUUAGAUACCCCGGUAGUCCUGGCCGUAAACGAGGUGGACUUGGGGUGGAAUGGCUUUGAGUUGUCCCGUGCCGAAGGGGACUGUUAGUCCACCCCUGGGAAGUACGGCCCAAGAUGGACUUAAGGAUUGGG